CCUAUAAGACGAGAAGACCCCAUGGAGCUUUAAAUCCAACAGCACCUAUUACCCAUAUAUCUUUAUAUUUUUUUAGCAAAUGCUCGUUCGGUUUUAGGUUGGGGUGACCAUGGAGUAAAAAAUAACCUCCACGAAAAAAGGCAUAAAACCCUUAUCAAAGAGCCACAUCUCUAUGAAUUAGUAAACUAAUUUCUGAUGAUCCGAUAUUCGAUCAACGAACCAAGUUACCCUGGGGAUAACAGCGCAAUCCGCCUUAAGAGCCCCUAUCGA
rnacentral:rRNA from 1 species